AUUGAACGCUGGCGGCAGGCCUAACACAUGCAAGUCGAACGAGUGGCGGACGGGUGAGUAAUGUCUGGGAAACUGCCCGAUGGAGGGGGAUAACUACUGGAAACGGUAGCUAAUACCGCAUACCAUCGGAUGUGCCCAGAUGGGAUUAGCUUGUUGGUGGGGUAACGGCUCACCAAGGCGACGAUCCCUAGCUGGUCUGAGAGGCUGACCAGCAAUGCUGGAACUGAGCCACGGUCCAGACUCCUACGUGAGGCAGCAGGGGGGAAGAUUGCACAAUGGGCGCAAUCCGGAUGCAGCCAUGCCGGGUGGAUGAAGAAGGCCGUCGGGUUGUAAAGUACUUUCAGCGGGGAGGCGUUACCCGCAGAAGAAGCACCGGCUAACUCCGUGCCAGCAGCCGCGGUAAUUC
rnacentral:rRNA from 1 species